AGAUUAGACCAUGGCUUCCUUCAAGUAGACAAAAAUGUGUCCAGAUGCUUUUGUCUACAACUCCCAGCUGCUAGGAGAGGUGGUCCACAACAUCUGAGGUGGAUCUUCCAUACCUUCAGAGCCAAUGAGAUAUCAGCAUAUGCACAAAACCCUCCACCUUUAUCACUUGAGCAGUGAUGAAAGCCACCACCUGGAAAAAGAAACGAAAGUAGCUUCUUGGGAGAAAAGCGAUGACAAGCCUAGACAGCAUCU